rnacentral:misc_RNA from 1 species
AAAAAGGGAGGGAAGAAGAAAAAAAUAAUAACAAUUGGUAUCUUCAGCGACUAUUGAAGGAAACAAUGAGAAAAGUCACAGUAAAAAGUGGAGCAAGUACAACAGGCAAAGGAAAAAAAAAAAACUAAAAAACUAAGAAUUAUUAAAGAAAAGACAAACUUAAGCUUUUUCAGACAAGAAGGUCUUUGCGUCUAUUAUUUUGGGCACAUCAAGGCCAGAUUAAAUACAAAUAAUCAAUAAUAAAAUAUUUAUUUUAAGAAAAAUAUUCAAAAUCAAAUAAAGAAAAAGCUGAAACAUUAAACCCGCCAAUUCCUAGA